CGGAAUCUCCAGAUUCGUGCUCGACCUGAGCCUCUCCGCCAUGGUUGUGUGAGAAAGUUCAUCUGCUUCCUGUGAUCCUUCUUGUUGCCGCGCGCCUGAUACUGUUCAUCGAUCCAUCCACAUAUGGGAUUCAGCCCAGAUCUUACCAGCGUGUCGGGCCAGGCUCCGGCCCGGUCCCUCCCCAACGCAGCAGCAGACCUGAUCCGCUCCAGCACAGUGCAGCAUUUGAUUCUUCCCGGAUAGGAUCGCGAAGUGGUGAUGUGAGAUACGA